UGGGGAAUCUUGCGCAAUGGGCGAAAGCCUGACGCAGCAACGCCGCGUGUGUGAUGAAGGUCUUCGGAUCGUAAAGCACUGUCGGGAGGGACGAAUAAGGCUGUGGCUAACAUCCACGGCUUCUGACGGUACCUCCAAAGGAAGCACCGGCUAACUCUGUGCCAGCAGCCGCGGUAAUACAGAGGGUGCAAGCGUUGUUCGGAAUUAUUGGGCGUAAAGCGCGUGUAGGCGGCUCAGCAAGUUGGGUGUGAAAGCCCUCGGCUUAACCGAGGAAGUGCGCCCAAAACUACUAGGCUUGAGUACCGGAGAGGGUGGUGGAAUUCCCGGUGUAGAGGUGAAAUUCGUAGAUAUCGGGAGGAACACCAGUGGCGAAGGCGACCACCUGGACGGAUACUGACGCUGAGACGCGAAAGCGUGGGGAGCAAACAG
rnacentral:rRNA from 1 species